rnacentral:rRNA from 1 species
CGCCGACCGAUAGAGGAGAGUACCGUGAGGGAAAGGUGAAAAGUACCCCGGGAGGGGAGUGAAAUAGUACCUGAAACCGUGUGCCUACAAUCCGUCGGAGCCUCCUUGGUUGGGGUGACGGCGUGCCUUUUGAAGAAUGAGCCUGCGAGUUAGUGGUAUGUCGCGAGGUUAACCCGUGUGGGGAAGCCGUAGCGAAAGCGAGUCCGAAUAGGGCGUUGCCAUCAUUUUUGGUGGUUGAGUCGCAUGAUCAAGACCCGAAGCGGAGUGAUCUAUCCAUGGGCAGGUUGAAGCGUGGGUAAGACCGCGUGGAGGACCGAACCCACUUAGGUUGAAAACUGAGGGGAUGAGUUGUGGGUAGGGGUGAAAGGCCAAUCAAACUUCGUGAUAGCUGGUUCUCCCCGAAAUGCAUUUAGGUGCAGCGUCGCGUGUUACUCACCGGAGGUAGAGCACUGGUUGGCCUAGGGGGCCCACAAGCUUACUGAAGUCAGCCAAACUCCGAAUGCCGGUAAGUGAGAGCGCAGCAGUGAGACCGUGGGGGAUAAGCUUCACGGUCGAGAGGGAAACAGCCCAGACCAUCAGCUAAGGCCCCUAAGCGGUGACUAAGUGGAAAAGGAUGUGGAGUCGCAGUGACAACCAGGAGGUUGGCUUGGAAGCAGCCACCCUUGAAAGAGUGCGUAACAGCUCACUGGUCGAGCGAGGCGGGCAUCGAUAAUAAACGGGCAUCAAGGGUAGUACCGAAGCUUUAGAUUUGUAUCAAGAGAUACAAGUGGUAGGGGAGCAUUCUAAACUGGGUCGAAGGUGUGAUGUGAGUCAUGCUGGACUGUUUAGAAAAGAAAAUGUAGGCAUAAGUAACGAUAAAGGGGGCGAGAAACCCCCUCACCGAAAGACUAAGGUUUCCUCAGCCAUGCUAAUCAGCUGAGGGUUAGUCGGGACCUAACGCGAACCCGAAAGGGGAAGUGGAUGGACAAUGGGUUAAUAUUCCCAUACUUGCUCACACUAAAAAGGGGACGGAUUUACGUACUUGCUGGAGACUGACGGAAUAGUCAAGGCCUAGCCUUCGGGCGAAGCUGCUGCAGGGAAAUAGAUUCCAAGAAAAGCCGAAGUGAAGCAACCCGUACCAAAACCGACACAGGUGGUCGAGGAGAGAAUCCUAAGGUGAGCGAGAGAACUCUCGUUAAGGAACUCGGCAAAAUGGCCCCGUAACUUCGGGAGAAGGGGCACCCCGGUAGGGUGAAGUGGCUAGCCCGUGGAGCUCGAGGGGGUCGCAGAGAGCGGGCCCAGGCGACUGUUUACCAAAAACACCGGUCCCUGCCAACACGUAGAGUGUGGACGUAUAGGGGCUGAGACCUGCCCAGUGCCGGAAGGUUAAAGGGAGGGCUGCGAGGUCUGAACUGAAGCCCCGGUAAACGGCGGCCGUAACUAUGACGGUCCUAAGGUAGCGAAGUUCCUUGUCGGGUAAGUUCCGACCUGCACGAAUGGCGUAACGACUUCUCUGCUGUCUCGACCACAGACUCGGCGAAAUUGCAUUACGAGUAAAGAUGCUCGUUACGCGCGGCAGGACGGAAAGACCCCGGGACCUUCACUAUAGCUUGAUAUUGGUGUUCGGUUCGGUUUGUGUAGGAUAGGUGGGAGACGUUGAUGCGGCCACGCUAGUGGUGGUGGAGUCGUUGUUGAAAUACCACUCUGGUCGAAUUGGGCAUCUAACUUCGGGCCAUGAUCUGGUCCAGGGACAGUGCCUGGUGGGUAGUUUAACUGGGGCGGUUGCCUCCUAAAAUGUAACGGAGGCGCUCAAAGGUUCCCUCAGCCUGGUUGGUAAUCAGGUGGUGAGUGUAAGUGCACAAGGGAGCUUGACUGUGAGACUGACAGGUCGAGCAGGGACGAAAGUCGGGCUUAGUGAUCCGGCGGUUCCGAAUGGAAGGGCCGUCGCUCAACAGAUAAAAGGUACUCCGGUGAUAACAGGCUGAUCUCCCCCGAGCGUCCAUAGCGGCGGGGAGGUUUGGCACCUCGAUGUCGGCUCGUCGCAUCCUGGGGCUGGAGUCGGUCCCAAGGGUUGGGCUGUUCGCUCAUUCAAGCGGUACGAGAGGACCAGAGUGGACUUACCGCUGGUGUACCAGUUGUUCUGCCAAGAGCAUCGCUGGGUAGCUAUGUAGGGAAGGGAUAAACGCUGAAAGCAUCUAAGCGUGAAACCUUCUACAAGAUGAGUUUACUUUU